UUUGUGACCUUUCAAUGAUCAG
rnacentral:miRNA from 1 species